AUUCUACAGAAUUGCAAGGUUGGUAGGAUUCUUCCUCGCAUAGUUGACACAACAAAGAAUGACCGGAGUGCAAUCCUCCGUGCAAGGUGCUGUGAGUAUGCACUUCUGAUACUGGAGUAUUGGGCAGAUGCCUCAGGGAUACAACGUUCAGCUGAUUUAUAUGAGGAUAUGAUAAAAUGCUACACUGUAGUAAAUGCGAUGAGCUUUUCUUCCAUUGGUGCUAUUUUUAGCCUAUCACAUAUAUCAUUAUUCUGAACUCAAUCCCUUCUUGUACGUCCAUAAAUCCAACACAACAUACACAUUUUCACAACAUUUAUCUACUAGUGGAGGUACCGACCAUCACUUGUCACUAUAACUCGAUGGUGAUCAGCGGUCGUGAGCUUUUAUGUUAUGUGUUCUGAUACUUGAGACUUUUAUUAUGACUAUGUAUAAUAUGUUGUCUCUUAUUUGUACUG